CCCUUAGGGUUUCUAAAAGAAAUUUAGUCAUUUGGCCUUUUGGGUCAAUUUCGAUUUAGGCUAUUGGGCUAAAGGUCCAUUUUAGAUUUGGGUUAUUAUUUUUUCUGCAUUUGGGCCAUUGUUUUGGGACAUUUGUAUUCGGGCUUGUAAAAAAAUUUAAGCUAAUCGGGCUUUAUAUUUAUUUGGAUUUUGUAAUUGAUGGACUUGCUGAACUGUUACAAAUUUAGACGUUAUUUACUGUUUUUU
rnacentral:lncRNA from 1 species